rnacentral:lncRNA from 10 species
GUGGAACCUGGAAUUCAAACGGCUGGGGCCUCACUCACGGCAUAUGGAACUAACCACGCCCCUAACUAAGAAGGCACACCUUAGUUGCAGUUAGCACACAAUUAAAGCAACUCUCCAAGUUUUACCUUAAAGUUCAAAAUUGCUAGGAGUUGAAACUACUAGAAAUAUAUUUACAUGCAAGAGUCAAAGAAACUUUGAACUAUUUAUGGCCUUUAAUAAUUAAGUAAGGUAUACUCCUGUGAUCAAGACUUGGAGCAUAUUUGUUUCUCUCUGCCUGGUUCCUCUAGAAAUUGGAAACUAUCAGAACAGAGACCAACUCCGUUUCCCGAUCCCUUUGCAAUCUGCAUUGAACCAUGAGUCAAGUUCUUGAUAAAGGAGUGAAAAUGUGUGUGACACAUGUGCUCAUGGAUUAUUGUCCGAAGCAAGACAUGUGACCAAGCCUAACAUCAACUGGGUGAAGAGCUAUAUGUUCCUUUCUCAAGAGGCACUACAAGUGACAUGCCACUGGGCAGAUGGAGUCUCGCUCUGUCACCCAGGCUAGAGUGCAGUACCGCAAUCUCGGCUCGCUGCAAGCUCUGACUCCCAGGUUCACACCAUUCUCCUGCCUCAGCCUCCCAAGUAGCUGGCACUACAGGCGCCCACCACCAUGCCUGGCUAAUUUUUUAUAUUUUUAGUAGAGAAGGGGUUUCGCCGUGUUAGCCAGAAUGGUCUUGAUCUCCUGACCUCAUGAUCUGCCCACCUCGGCCUCCCAAAGUGCUGGGAUUACAGGCGUGAGCCACCGCGACUGGCCUAACAUAUUUUUAAAACCUGCAGAAUGUUUGUAUUACUUUUGUCAUAGUACAUAACAUUUAAAUGGAUUUCUUGUUUGUGUAUGUGUGUAUAUUCAUUCACAACACUGAUAGUUUUUCUGAAUAUUUCCUUUGGAUUUUAUUCUUUUCUCAUUCAACUAAAUAAGAACCUGCACCAUCUUUUUCUAGUGUAAAAAUUACAAUAUCUGAAGUGAAACUACUAGAAUAAAUCUUGUGACAAUUCUUAAGGAUUAUCUUUUAGUUGGUAUGGUUUCCAAAAAAGAUUGUACUAAGUUUUACUCCCAGUGGAAAUAUUUAAAGGCAAUACUUCCAUUUCUUUUUUACAGAAUAGAAUCCAAUUAUUCUUUUUCAUCCCAUUGUUGUAUACAGACUUUAUUUCAUUUACUUGUAGAUCAAAGGUUUUUUGGUUUCCUAUCUUUUGGACACUGUUUUGGGUACUAGAGAGAGCAUGAGUAGCUAAGUUUCUGAAAUUUACAGUGAAUGGAAAAAGAUAGGCAUAAAUGAAACAAUCACAAAAAUAAAUGUAACAGCUACAGUUACAGUUGUAAAACUGUGGUCAGUGCUAUGGAGGAGUGUACAAGGUGAUAUGAGAGAUCAUAAUAGGGAAGUUAAAUCUCUGGUUCAUGUAAAACUGCCAUGGACACACUCUCAGUGAACUUAGAGCUAAAAGAGGAGUAAUAGCCAUUAGACACAAAAAAGCAGAUAGAAAAUGUUCUGGGAAGAAUAAUGUCUAUAAAGGAUCUGGGGUAGGAGAGAGCAUUGUUCUUUGGUGAUAUGAGAUUGGAGGGAUAGGUGAAUAUAAAACAUAAGCAUAAAAACUAGAUAGUAUUUAAAUCCUUUCCUUGGAUCUUAAUGAGAAGCACUAAAGAGAUUUAAAUAGAGAAUGACAACAUGUAAUUUGGCUUUUAAACAAAGUUAUGUUUUUUAAUGCAGAAAAUAAAUUGGAAUGAAGCCCAUGUGAAUGCAUGGAGACAAGGUGAAAAGGUAGAUGAGAAAAAAGUUGGAAAUAUUUGCAGGUACAUUUGACAGGACCAGGAGAUGUCUUGGGCAUUCAUGAUGAUGGAAGAGUGGUCAAUAAUGACUCUAUUUUCUAGCUUGUAUCAUGAGAUGAAUGGAGACCCGUAGAAGAAUAAGUUUUGUGAGUGACUGGGUCAUGUAAUAUAUUUUGGAUUUGUUAAAUGUGAACUACUUUUAAGAAACUGUGGGGAAAAACUUCGUUUUGUUUACAUCCAUGAAUCAUUUGAAGCACGAAAAAUAAUUCUCAGCUGAAGAUACAAAUAUGAGGGCCCUGGGUGUAUAACUGAAGGCACGAGUAUAAAUGGGAUUAUUUAGGGAGGGCUUAAAAGUGGAUAGAGAGUAAAUUCACAGACUAUAGGUACAAAAUAAUCACCAAUGACAAUAUAUUAUGCAGCUUAAGACCAAUUGUAUGUAUUUUCCUGACAAUGUCUUUUAGAGCCUGUGACUAGUUUUCUCCUGAAGAUGUGGUGAUCUUCUUAUCAAUUUUUAAGAGUACUUAAAUGUUUUAACAAUUAUAUUUAACUCAAAAUUAGUUUCCA